rnacentral:pre_miRNA from 2 species
UAUUAGGUCGGUGCAAAAAUCAUUGCGGUUUUUGCUUUUGAAAGUAAUGGCAAAAACCGCAAUGACUUUUGCACUGACCUAAUA